UCGCCUGUUUAUCAAAAACAUGGCUUCUUGUUUUUUGAAUAUGAGAGGUCUGGCCUGCCCGGUGGAUUAUUUCUAAACGGUCGCAGCUGCCACUGUGCGAAGGUAGCGUAAUAGGUCGUCCUUUAAUUGGGGGAGAGUAUGAAUGGUCGGAUGUUGGAAGGUCUUUAUUAAGAGUAUGUUUUGAAAUUUACUUUUUGGUGAAAAGGCUAAAAUUUGUUUAUUAGACGAGAAGACCCUAUUGAGCUUGGUAGGAAUGGUUAUAAUAUCUAAUCAUAGUUAUGUUUGUUCGGGGUUGAACGGAAGGGGAAAUGAUGCCUUCUAUGAUAAAAUUUGGAUCCAGCAUGGCUGAAAAGUAGAAGAUAGUUACCAUAGGGAUAACAGCGCAAUCUCCUUGGUAAGGCCAUAUUUAAGGGGUGGUUUGCGACCUCGAUGUUGAAUCAGAAUUUCUACUAGGUGUAGCAGCUUAGAAAGUGGGACUGUUCGUCCUUUAAAAUUCUACGUGAUCUGAGUUCAGACCGGA
rnacentral:rRNA from 1 species